rnacentral:rRNA from 1 species
UGGUGGAGUGAUUUGUCUGGUUAAUUCCGUUAACGAACGAGACCUUAGCCUGCUAACUAGACGCGGCGAUCUCGAUCGUCUUCGUCUUCUUAGAGGGACUUUGUGAUCUAAACACAAGGAAGUUUGAGGCAAUAACA